rfam:Lunatimonas lonarensis strain AK24 S14_contig_39, whole genome shotgun sequence.
CCUUGUGUUCCAUUACAAGUAGCCUAUGGAUACGUGCAUUUCUGGCAACGGGAUUGUGCGAAGCUAUCCGGACAAUAUAGCCCGUAAAGGGAUGCUGUGAAGAAUACCUGUUGCGCACCAACGUCAGAUGCGGGGGAGU